rnacentral:lncRNA from 1 species
CAGCUCACUGUGCUGGGUUUCUUAUGGUGGGACAACCGAUGUUUGUUUAAAUGCCGUGUUGGGUAAGGAAGAUGUAUGCACUCUCAAGAAGGUCAAAUUAUCUACCUCUAAAAGUCUUCCUAUACCUAACGUUGAUUGUAAAACCUGUUCAGCACCAUAAGACAAAAAACAUUUUCUCUUCUUUGUCCAGCAGAAUUCAGCUGAUUCGUUAAAAUCUCAGAUUUUGAUUGGCUACUUACAUUGCGUGCUCUCUCGGUUGUUUUGAUUGUCACUAAGGAUAUGAUUUCUGCACAAUGGAACUGUCAGAUCUUCAAGUGGUAAUAACAGCUUAAUUUAUCAUAGCUUGAUAACAUGAUGAUAAUCUGUUGGACACAUUGUUUAACUCUGAUUUAUGUGAAAGAAAAUCUAUGUGACAGGUCCACUUUAAUCACGAACACGUUUAAAAAUAAAUGGCUGUUUAGAGUACACUUGUCAUUAAAAAAAAUAAUGCCAGUCUUUGUACAACUGGCUAGCAAACGCAUAGUUUAAAUUUGAUGACCAGUAUUUUUAGUCCUUUGCCUUUUCUGCAAUGCUGUAGGAUAGUCAAGGCACGGGAUUGAAUGAGGAUAAGUCAUAGUGGAUGGGGCGAUAGGGCAAUUCACAUCAUAGGUCCCAUGGUGUUGGGAACACUAUAGUCACCAGAACAACAACAGCUUAUUAUAUUUGUUCUGGUGAGUAUAAUCAUUCCCUUCAGGCUUUUUGCUGUAAACAUUGUCUAUUCAGAGAAAAGUCAGUGUUUAAAAUACAGCCUAGGGAUACAUCCACUGGCCACUCCUCAGAUGGCUACUAGAGGUGCUUCCUGGGGUAGUGCUGCACAGUGUGACGGACAUUCCGUGUCUUGACCCUCUGCAUAGAGACAGUGAACUUUCCUCAUAGAGAUGUAUUGAUUCAAUACAUCUCUAUGAGGAGAAGAUGAUUGGCCAGGGUGGCUUUUGGCUCUUCCCGCUGGCACUUCUCCUUGGCUGAGAUUAUGAAAAUUGACAAUUUUCGCCAAUCCAAUGCUUUCCUAUAUUUGGGGGGGGGGGGGCUAGAUAGUAUUUUUAGCACCAUAGGGUCAGUAAUACAUGUUUUUGUUCCUUCAAAUACCUAUUUUCUAACUGUCUGAGAAAUGGGGCAUCUGGGUUGUAACAAGUGUUCAGUGAUAAGUGUGUUAUUAAGACAAAAAAAACUAAAUUAAAAACUGCUAAAGUGUUUCAAAAACAUUUAACAUAACAUUGAGUUGUUUAUUCACUAAACAGUGAUAUUUGUCGAAUUAAAAAAUGACUGCCAAAGGCAAAAUGUUAUCAUAUGGUUUCCAGCUCACCUAUUUUGUUCAACAUUUUGCAAUCUUUUCUUUUUUUUUCAAUUCAAUAUUUGUUUAGUGAAUAAACCGUCUAGAUGUGUUGGUAGAUGAACGUGGAUUUCUUUAAUUGGCAAGGUAGCUUGCCUUUUAUAAAUGAUGUUUAGGUAAACCGCAGUAGCUAAGAGAUAAAGAUGUAUAUUCAGUGGUUUCAGUUUCAAACAUUUUAGGAAUGAGAAACAUUUUUCAUGCUUUAAUGAUUACAUUUUACAUUUUGGGAGCAAUUAGCAAGCAUUACAUUAUAUCAAGUCCUGCAGACCCUUAGAUGGAUUGAAAGCUCCCUUGCAUCAAUCCGACAGACACUAAACAAGGUCAUCCGCAGACUAUCACAGAGCUCGCUCUGUCCAAAAAAAGCUUUAAUUACGCAGUUUCUACGUGUUUCUGGAAGAGUUAUUACUCAAUGUUUUUCAUGCUUCUUGUGUACCGUCCAAGAACAGAGCCUUGGAAUGUUCUACCAGUGAAAGUAACGGCUGCUGACUGAUGAUAGGAGACAGAAGGAUAUUGAGUUAUCCCAGUCAGUACCGGAAAACCAUUCUACACGCUCCUGCCAACAAGCUUGACAGUAAAGUUGUGUUAUUUAUUAACAAGUCCCUCUGUAUACUGCAGUGUAGGACAUUACAAAGUACGACCGUCAUAAAUACAUUUUAAUACAAAACGAUCACUUCUUGGAUGCACUUGACAUCCUUGACUCUUGAAAUACUGACAGCAUCAUAAAUAUAUAGCCCGUACACAAAAUAAAACGAAUCCCAAGGUUUGUACUACAAUUCAGAUUUACAUACGGCUUAUCUAUCUACAUCGAACAAAAUUAGAAACCCAACACUUUUGUUUUUGCCCCCAUUUUUCUUGAGCUGAACUCAAAGAUCUAAGACUUUUUCUAUGUACACAAAAGGCCUAUUUCUCUCAAAUAUUGUUCACAAAUCUGUCAAAAUCUGUGUUAGUGAGCACUUCUCCUUCUCUGACAUAAUCCAACCACCUCACAGGUGUGGCAUAUCAAGAUGCUGAUUAAACAGCAUGAUUAUUGCACAGGUGUGCCUUAGGCUGGCCACAAUAUAAGGCCACUCUACAAUGUACACAUUGCGGGGUGCCAGGGAACUCCUGGCACCAUAUUCACUACACUGUAGCCAGAAUUUAAAAUCCAAAAAUCCUUUGGCUAAUUAGUCAAAAAUUAAAAAAAGAAAGGAGUCCAAGAUGUGGGUGCUGAAACCAUUUCAGUUGUCUGGGAAUUUUUGUUCUAAAUAUUUGCGAUGACAAAUUCCACUUUUUUUAUCAUUAAAGUUUUUAUUGCUAAACAUUUUAAUAUAAUAGGAUCCUGCAAUGAGUGGAUAAAGAAGGCAUUUCAAUGUAUAUAAUAAGAGACAGAUAUAAGGAAGACGUUCGUGGGAGGGAAACAAGCAAGACAAUCCACACCUACCAUAUUUAAAAUAAAAGGAACAAAAAUGAAUGAAAUUAAAGCAGAACUGGUAAAAGAGGACCAGCAGUAAAUGCACAAUGAGUCUGUCUCAUCCCCCACAUCACAAAGCUAAGCACAAGACUAUCCCGCAUGAAGCAGUAAUUAGCACGCCUUCACAGCAAGUUCAAUUUAAAGUUUUUCUCUUGUGAAGGAGCUUUCUUCUAGCUAAGGAGGAAGAUAUCCAGUGGUAUUACAAAGUGCUGUGUUCAAUUUUUCCAUCUUAACCAUAUGCCAAUGUUUUGGAGUCAAGUUGUGCCUGGCAAGCCAUGAGCAAGGGAUAAUUUUGGAGCAUUUCACUAUCCACAUACACAAAGCCACACAGACCCUAAAAAUAAGUAGAGGUACCUGGGUGUAAUCCCACUGAAAAGAGCAACCCAUGGAUUCAGUGUGAGUUAAUUUCAGAAACAAAGGUCUAAUCAAAGUAUAGGUCCACCAAGCAUGCAGGUAUGAACCCUCCUCCUCUCACAUCCCCUAAAACAAGACAAAAACAUUCUUAGUGAAGGACACUAGGCACAGUCUGUCCAUACUGAAUAUAGAGAAUGGCCUUGGAGUUGGACUUCACCAAGAAAGGGUCUCAUGACGUGAGCAGAUGGGGUUCUUACUGUUGUUACCAUUGCGGGGUAUGUGUGGCUACAAGGCUGUCGCCGAGGGGGGCCCUGGACCUCGCCACAGGACCCCGCAGGGAGACAGUAGGGGCAAAGGGGGGAGGGGCAGUGGGGUUGCCCAAUAGAAAAGGGCCCCCGAUGUUUGUGUUGGUGGUCCCCUAUGCGUUCUCUGAAGCUAGGGGGGUGAGAUGGUGCAAGGGUGUGUGGGGUUCAGAGAAGGGCUCCUUCUGGUUGCAGGCGACAUUAACCUAGCACUGGUACCAGGACAAGAUUCCUCUAGGGGAGUAAGCUUUCUCCCCCAACGACACAUUCACUUGGCCAUGCAGUCUCUGAAGCGACUGAGGCUGGUUGAUUGCUGGAGGGUGGUGCACCUCGAGGAUAGGCACUUCACGUUCUACUCAGCAGUACACAAACAUUAUAGCCGCAUUGACUACUUCUUUCUACACAGAUUUCUAGACUGGCACGCUCACCCAAGUGGGUGAGCGUGCAGUGGGUGAAUAUGGAGAUUCGACAAGCCAAAGGCAAAAUCCCGUCCACACUAUGGCUUAGUAACCAGACAUUGAGUGCCCUGCGCACAAAUAACCCUAUGAUAGAUGCCACACUUGGUAUCUGGUGCACACUCCGCUUCCAAAAACAACUGACAUCACCCAGCCCACUUACCCCUAUUACGUAUAACCCAGACCUUGCCGGUGAACUGAGUGCUAGAGAACUGGCUCGUCUCAAGACUACGGACUGGACGUACGUGCAUCUCCACCCAGCUUAAGAUCAUCACUGCAUUAAUACAGGACAGACAACCAAUUCCACUAGAGCAGUUCUGCUACCACCAAGUAAAAAAACAUACUAUUGGUCCUUGCCGGGCCAAGGACAGAUACAUAGACCCCUGGCGCAAUAUGAGUUACUAUACACCAGGAGGGAACAUGUCUCAAGGGCCAUCUCUACCAUGUACACACUGCUCCUGUCAAAUAGAGGUGACAUUUCACUUGGGUACACAAGUAAAUGGGAAAAACGGGAGUCACUCUCUCGGACCAAGAAUGGGACAAAAUCGUUACCCUCACACAAAAAUGCUCGAUAAAUUCUAGGUUCCAAGAGUUAAGCUACAAAUGGCUAAUAUUCUGGUACCGGACGCCAGACGUCCUGCACCAAAUGCGCACAGAUAACCCACGGGAAUGCUGACAUUGCAGACGGGGAGAAGGGACUGGACUUCAUAUAUGGUGGUCCUGUCCUGCAAUUGUUCCCUUUUGGAAGAUGAUACAUGCUAACAUACAGGAAAUCACUGACACCACCUUAGCAUUACAACCACUGACCAUGCUACUACACCACACCACGAUACCACUGAAAAUAUAUAAAAAAAUCAUUAAUUAUCCCUCUGCUAACAGCCGCUAAAUCCCUUGUCCUGGUACUUUGGAAACAUUCCGGUGUUCCCACCCUCCAGCAAUGGGUAGCUAGAGUCGAUGAGAUAUACAACAUGGAAUCCCUGAUGGCGGCCCUGUGGGGACACUCAGAAAAAUUUGUUCAAACCUGGGCCCCCUGGCUCACCUACAUCUGGAGGCCUGUGCGGGUACGUGAGUUAAAUCAGGUUCUCUCAUUACCAGAUCAGGUCACUUAAUGGAAUAAUUAUGUUGGACGGGAGGGUGGAGAGGAGCGAACUUGAAUAUGGGGCGAGAGGGAGGAGGGUUUUUUUUUUCUCUUCUUUUCUUUCUCUCUUCUCUCUUACUCUCCCCCACCCCACACUCGCUCUUUCCCUAUCCCGCCUCUACUCUCGUCUCCUUUUCUUCCUCUAGAGCUAUUCCUAACACCUUUAUACCGCUACUGACACGACACACAAUACUGGCCGCAUGACCGAUGAGAUCAUUUCUAAAUGACCAAACAUGUUGCUAUGAACACAGCUGUGACGAGACCAAUCUCGCCACAUUGCAUUGGAGAAGCCUGGUUGCUCGCCUGCUGCCUUUGGACUAUGGCCCCCUGUUAAAAGACAUCUUUUUUUACCUGCAGAAAAGCUUCAUUCGUGCUUUUCUGCCUGGAGUUCGGUAGAUUUGUUUGAAUGUGUUACACCCCAGAUAGGAAUCCCAUGGAGCCCAUUCGUAUGAAACUGACUGUAAAGACUUUGGCUCCAUGGCGAUUAAACUGUAUUCGUGUGGUCUGAGCGCCAUUCGCUUAAUAAUGUGCGCUCGGACCUGAGCUAUCUGGGGAUAUUUUACAUGUCUGUGUUUUAUGUAAUAAAUGUGACUUUAUGUAUUUUAAAGUGUUUUGUGUCUUUUUGCAACCAUGUGCUUAAUGGAGUCUUGUGUCUGUCCUGGGAGAUAAUUGAAUUACUCUCAGGAUAGAAGACUCUGAAACUGGUUUGGGCCAGAAAGCCAUGCUUCAUUUAGUCACAAAGGACUUUCCCUUAACUUUUGAACCCCUGGUCUGAUUCUUGCCAUUUUUUAAUAUGUUGUUCCCCUGAAUGGAUUGAUUAUGAAAAUGUAUGUUUUAUGUUUAUGACAUGUAUAUUUUAGAAGUUAUAAAUAUUGUGUAAAAACUGUAUUCCUCUGCCGGUGAUAAUGAGAUUACCCAUUGUGUUCAGUAAUCAUAUCACAUGCAGAGGGGAGGAUUUUGUGUGGGAGUGUCUGUGUGUAUUGUAUGGAUUGAUUGGUUGUUUUGUAACGCCCUGUGGGCUGUACUAUGUUUGUGGAUUGGGAAUAAAAGAGACUGCAUGUGACAGUACAGGGAGUUCCUGUUUUAACCCUCAAAGUGAAGUGUCGUCUCAUUAUUGGGGGAAGGAUUUAUUGUAUGCUGUUCCAGUUUGACUGCUAGGAGAGUAAACCUAUUCGUAUGGUUCCUAUUCAACUGUCUACAGCAUUCAUAUGCUUGGGAGAAUUUAUUUGUUUCUCCGGUUCAGUGAUUGUGGUGUCUGCCAGAGUGCUUGGAGUCCUCAGGAAGCGCUAGGAGCAUCCUUCAACGGAGGUACCCAGUCGGGGUGCCAGGCGAUCCGUUACAUUGGUGGCAAGCGGUGGGAUGGCGUUCUAGUGCGAGGUAAAGCAGCUCAGAGACACAGUUCGUGGAUUUACAAAUUGAAGGCGGCGCUAGUGUUCAUACAGCGUCCCUGUCUACAUAAAGAUUUGGGAAAACCAGCACUACUUCAGAGAUGGAAGGCCGUGCAGUAUCUCACUUUGACGCCAGGCUCCAGCAGCGACUACAGGAUGUGAUGCGCAGUAUGGAGUAUCAUAUCCCAGAGGAAAGAGAGACAGAGUGGAGGGUGGCGCUUCGUACCGAUCUCUGGAAGGAGGACAUCGACGAAAUUCGACCCUUCCGGUGCGAGGAAAUCCUGACCACUGCUUGACCCUCAACACGGAGCCUUGUCUCGUUCUUGGGGGGAUUCACUGUAUGCUGUUAGAGACUGAUUGCCAGGAGUGGAAGCUGAUUGUCUGCUUUUCCUGUUCGUCUGCUAGCAGCUAUUUGGGAGGUUCCAGUUCGGGAGUUGAAGUGCUAUUUUGUAUCCAGUUCAGGAGUUUGUUGUUCUGCAGUAGCUGUGCCUGUAUCUCUGGAAAGGGGGCCGAUCGCCUAAACGGUUUUUUUCCCCUUUUGUGCAAAACGGUCCGUUACAAUUGGUGGCAGCGGUGGGAUCGUUCCCACAGACAACAGGACAGCUACAGGAGACACCAUUUCUUUGGAUUUACAAGUGGGGGCAACGCAUGUCCCAGUACAGCGACCCUAAAAGCAACAGAAUGGAACCAGCAGUGCUAUACAAGGAGGAGGACCUGGAUGGCCGGGAUGCAUUAAGGAAAGGCAUCUGGUACCAGGCCCUGGAUAAUGUACAAUACCAGCGGGGUGAGAGUCUCCCCAGUGAAGAGCAGCGGUUGCAGAAGCAAGUGGCCCUGCAGAUGCCCUUCCUGGGAGAGCAGCCCCUGGAGGAAUGGGUGAAGGAACUAGAGCAUCGGGUAUGGCAGGAGCUAUGGCUGGAGGAUGCCUACCAGGCGCUCUGGUGGUAUAUGGCACAGUAUAUACCCUGGACAGCUGAGCAUGACAAGCCAGAGGGAGAGGAGGUUGAUGGUCCUGGCUUGUUAUGGGAGUCCUUUGCAGAGCCUGACUUCGGGAGCCCUGCGCAGAACAGACUUCAGGAAAUUUUCUACGAGAGGGAGGCUAGGCAUGACUGGGAUGACCCCCAUGAGGUAGAGCAAGACCUGGCUCACCUAGCAACCCUGGAGUGGGAACUGGAGCAGGACUACCGAGAUCUCUUCCACUCCAUUGGGAAGGCUCAGCAGGACAGCAAGGUGACAGACCCAGAUCCAGACCCCUUCAGCUGGGAAGAUAUUGUAGAGCUUUACUGGGAGGAACCCCAGGCGGCAGGUGGAGAUGGGACUGAGUUCUCUCCACUGGCCCUUCAGGGAUGCUGGGCGGUCAGCCCAGAUCCCCAGCGGCAGAUUGAUAUGCCGGGAAUUGGGAGCCCAGUCUCCAUUCCCCGGUGGCAGUGUGAUAUGCCGGGAAUUGGGAGCCCAGUCUCCAUUCCCCAGCGGCAGUGUGAUAUGCCGGGAAUUGGGAGCCCAGUCUCCAUUCCCCAGCGGCAGUGUAAAGUGCAGGGAGAGGAGAGCAGCGUCCUCCCUCCCCAGCGGCAGGCUGAGUUACAGGGGGCAGAGGUAGUUGUUCCUGCCCCCAGCAGCAGAGUGAUAUGCCGGGAAGGCAGUGUGAAGUGCAGGGAGAGGAGAGCAGCGUCCUCCCUCCCCAGCGGCAGGCUGAGUUACAGGGGGCAGAGGUAGUUGUUCCUGCCCCCCAGCAGCAGAGUGAUAUGCCGGGAAGGCAGUGUAAAGUUCAGGGAGAGGAGAGCAGCGUCCUCCCUCCCCAGCGGCAGGCUGAGCUACAGGGGGCAGAGGUAGUUGUUCCUGCCCCCCAGCAGCAGCGUGAUUUUUUGGGAAUUGGGAGCCCAGUCUCCAUUCCCCAGCGACCGAGUGAUGUGCCGGGAAUUGGGAGCCCAGUCUCCAUUCCCCAGCGGCAGAGUGUCCUACCGGGAAAUAGAGAGCCCAGUCUCCUUUCCCCAGCAGCAGGACACUGUAUUGGGAGUGGAGACAGUCGGUCUCCCUCCACAGAGGAUGAAAGUAUGUAUGGGAGAGGAGCUUGCUACCACCUCUACCCAGCGGCGGAUCAUUAAUGGGCAGGGAAUAGAGAGCUCAGUCUCCUUUCCCCAGUGGCAGAGUGUUCUAUCGGGAGAGGAGCCUGUUACCCCCUCUCCCCAGCGACAGCUUAGAGUAUCCAAAGGGGAGACAGUCGGUCUCCCCCUCCGGCAGCAGAGCUGUGCAACAAAAGGGGAGACAGUCGGUCUCCAGCAGCAGAGCAGUGUAUCUAAAGGGGAGACAGUCGGUCUCCAGCAGCAGAGCGGUGUAGUUAAAGGGGAGACAGUCGGUCUCCCCCUCCAACAAACAGGCUUCAACCAGGCUACCCUCCCACAGUAGCUGGCCCAGCAGCAGAGCAGAGUGCAGCAGUCUCUGCCACUGUAACUCCACCAGUCCAGCGUACCCGUGCCUUGCUUUAGCCGUGGUGAGGCACCUGGACAUGGACAAAGUUCUCCUCUACCCAGGUGUAGUAACCAUUUAUUGUGGGUGGGCUGUAUUACUAUUUGUGUGUUGUGGGUGGGCUGCUGGACUAACAAGAGCACUGACCGGCAGGAGGUCAGAUACCCUGUUAGUCUGUUUGGAAAAGGGGAGAGAUGUGACGAGACCAAUCUCGCCACAUUGCAUUGGAGAAGCCUGGUUGCUCGCCUGCUGCCUUUGGACUAUGGCCCCUGUUAAAAGACAUCUUUUUUACCUGCAGAAAAGCUUCAUUCGUGCUUUUCUGCCUGGGGUUCGGUAGAUUUGUUUGAAUGUGUUAUACCCCAGAUAGGAAUCCCAUGGAGCCCAUUCGUAUGAAACUGACUGUAAAGACUUUGGCUCCAUGGCGAUUAAACUGUAUUUGUGUGGUCUGAGCGCCAUUCGCUUAAUAAUGUGUGCUCAGACCUGAGCUAUCUGGGGAUAUGUUACAUGUCUGUGUUUUAUGUAAUAAAUGUGACUUUAUGUAUUUAAAAGUGUUUUGUGUCUUUUUGCAACCAUGUGCUUAAUGGAGUCUUGUGUCUGUCCUGGGAGAUAAUUGAAUUACUCUCCAGGAUAGAAGACUCUGAAACUAGUUUGAGCGGAAAAUACAUGCUUCAUUUAGUCACAAAGGACUUUCCCUUAACUUUUUGAACCCUGGUCGAUUCAUUACCAUUUUAAUAUGUUGUUCCCUGAAUGGAUUGAUUAUGAAAAUGUAUGUUUUAUGUUUGUGACAUGUAUAUUUUAGAAGUUAUAAAUAUUGUGUAAAAACUGUAUUCCUCUGCCGGUGAUAAUGAGAUUACCCAUUGUGUUCAGUAAUCAUAUCACAUGCAGAGGGGAGGAUUUUGUGUGGGAGUGUCUGGGUGUAUUGUACGGAUUGAUUGGUUGUUUUGUAACGCCCUGUAGGCUGUACUAUGUUUGUGGAUUGGGAAUAAAAGAGACUGUAUGUGACAGUACGGGUAGUUCCUGUUUUAACCCUCAAAGUGAAGUGUCGUCUCAUUAUUGGGGGAAGGAUUUAUUGUAUGCUGUUCCAGUUUGACUGCUAGGAGGGUAAACCUAUUCGUAUGGUUUCCUAUUCAACUGUCUACAGCAUUCAUAUGCUUGGGAGAAUUUAUUUGUUUCUCCGGUUCAGUGAUUGUGGUGUCUGCCAGAGUGCUUGGAGUCCUCAGGAAGCGCUAGGAGCAUCCUUCAACGGAGGUACCCAGUCGGGGUGCCAGGCGAUCCGUUACAACAGCCAACAUAAUGGCCCGAAAGCAUGCACAGACCACAAAUGCCAUAUCAGCGGACUAAUGUGUAGUACUGAACUUCAUGAAAAGCUCACUGUUAAUGGAAUGUAUCUAUAUUACGUUCUGUCAAAACACAAUGUCAAAGCUGUUUUAUCUUUCCCUCUGUACCCUCUGUACUACUCUGUGAUUGAAAAAUGAACACUGCAAAACAAAAAUACAAAAUUAAAAUUGUCAAAAAAACAUUCUUAGAGUAUUUUGGUCAAUCUGGAAGGGUGGAUACACCAUCAAGCUAAAACCUUGAAGCAGCUCUACUUAACCAGUGUAUGUGUUCAAAAAAGCUGCACCUGUCUUACCCAUCCUGAAGUUCUCUCAAGUCAACUUCUCAUUGUAAAGUGUAUUGUUGGCAGCCUUGGUACUCCACAGAUAUUUAUUAUGUAUAUAAUAAGGGCCAGCCCUACUGUCAAGCAAUACAUUUUACACAUAUACAUGUCAUAGAAUGUAGACUUUGUCCUGGCAAACUGCAUAGAUAUGACCUCACAAAGUGGAGAAUCUAUAUAGAUUGUAAGAGUUCGAUGCUGGGCAAUUCGUACUUAACUACUAACCCUCAAAUGGUUUCAAAAUGUGACCAAUAAGGUGUUGAACUUCACUGAUCCACUUUUGAAACCACCAAGCAAAGUCCUUUUCGCAACACUGGUUUAUAGCAUAACAGCAUGUUAUAUCGCUCCUUAAAGAGGCAACCCACAAUCUUAUACUUUCUCUAUAUCCUGAACGAAUGUUGUAAUGUUGCAUUAAGAUGCGACACUGGGCACAGGUGGGUAGUACGAAGUCCCGUUUUCAUGAAUAAACCCCUUUCUUUGUGAUAGACCUUGCCUUUCAUAUUGUUAUAAAAUAUCAGUUUAAUACACUGUUUUUAUAAAACAGCUUAGUGUUCUGGAACAGACAGAUAACAGUUUGACUAAUAAUAGGUUGUAUGGGAUAAUGCUAGAAAUUGUACAGCAGAUAUCUAGAAAUGACAUCUCAUACAGAAAAACCUUUUGUCUCGGUUGGUGGUGAGGGGGCGAUGGUUCCGGACACAGCAGUAGAGAUAUUGCAUGGUUUGCUUACUGAAAAGCUUCUUUUUGAUCUUUAGUCCGUUACCUGUGUGUGCAGUGCACUUCCUGUAUUGACAAGAAUGUUAUCUUGUGUAGCGGUAACUCUGUUAAGGCCUCAUUGAUCACUAACUUAAAUGCACUUAUCAUUUGAAGUCACAAAAUGUAUCUCCCUGCAUCCGUGGGUGGGAAAACUUCACUGCGGCAGAUUAACAGGCAAACUUUCUUUUGUAGGAAGACUUUUGGAUAUCAUGAACCCGAUAUAUGGAGCAAGGUUCCCAAAUACUUUGCUAACCUUUGGUCUACCACAGUAUAAAGAUAAAAAUAUAGAUUAAUAAAACAAAAACAAACUUUGAAUAGCUUUUCGCAGCUUGAUAAGAACUCUGUGGAUGUGUCCCUGGACAGCUAGGAAUGAGGAAGGAAGCUUUGAUACUUUGGAAAGCUCGGCAGAACACAACCCAAAUGUGGAUGGUUAACUCCUGACGGAACCUUGCUCAUCAUUAGUUUUAAAAACUCUAGAAGGGUUAUUCGAUAAAGUGAGAAUUCAAAGUGAAUUUCCAAUGUAAGGUCAGAGUAGCUAAACUGUAAAACGUUCUGUAAGUCAGCUAUGCUUCAUUUGAAUUUCACUAUGGAUUCUCAUUUUAUUAAACAACUCUGUCAGUUUAAAUAAUAAAUCCCUUGAUAUACAUUUGGUUGUGGGAAAGUGAAAAAGGUACAUAGUGCUUGCAGUGUUUUUGGCAUUCAAACGGUUAUAAAACAGAUAAUGGAUGCAAAGCACGCAAGAACAGUUCGGUGGAGGCACGGUGCAUGCUGGUAUGUGCAUGCUGAGACUUUAGCUUUGAUUGAACAGAAUAAUUGUGUAAUUAUGGAUGUUUCAAUGACACACUGGAAUAAUACACAUCUGAUUGAGUUUCAAGAUUCCUGGAAAUCUCGACAGGUGUAACGUUGUGUUUUUAUUGUAUAUUCCAAUCCAAUGACCAUUUAAAAGGUUACUCCAAGAACCAUAACUACUACAGCUUAUUCUAGUGGUUAUGGUACUAUGAAUUUUUAAAUGGGGUGUCCCCUUGUUUUUGUAAAAAUAAAAUGGAGAUUUUCCCAAAACCAAAGCCUGGCUUCUCUUCUGUCCCCCGUAAAAUGCAGAAGAUUGACUUCUGUGUCACAUGCCCAAAGUUGUCCUACGGUGACAAUAUUAAGCUGGAAGGGCACAGGACAGCUUAGGGUAGUGCUUGCAGUCUGUUAUUUCAAAUAAAGCGAAAUACUAUUAACUUUUCCAACAUACUUGAGCCGACAUAGCAUGUAAAAUACGCAAAAAGGCAAAAGAUUUUAUGCGCAAUUGUUCACAAUGUGUUAUGUAUAUUGCUAUAAACGCUCAAGUGACAUUUCCCAUUUAAAGAAAUACAAUGCAGAGCCUAAGACUUCAUAGAGACUUGGUCAAUCAGUAUUAAUUUCAUCAGGAAGCAGGAGCAGUCUAUUUCACCAUUCUGACAGUGUUGGAUAUAGUUGACGUCCGAAAGUAGGCAUUUCAGAGACUGAAGCAUAACCGACUAGAACAUCCAUCAAUCAAAUUUUCAUCUGUGCCCUUCGUUUAGAUAAUGCUGCUUCAGCAAGCUUGGGCUAGUAUCUGUAGCACUCUGAUCUGUAUGCUUUGGUUACUGUAAUACACAGCUGAUCUGUCUCUUUUGUUAAAUGAUGUCUGCUGAAGUGAACUGGUCUCACAAGCUGGGUAUCAAUCACCAAAAUCCCGAUUAAAUGUCUUCUGGCAGAUUUGCACCCGCUUUCUAUGCUUGUACUUUAUUGAGGGGACAUAUUCGAAGCACGUUGCAGGAAAGCAUUAUGUUGACAUCAAUAAUUGAUUGCCGAAGUACCAAGAUAUUAAUUUUAAGAAUCUUUUUUAUUGGUACCAGAACCUGAAAAUGUUACAUAGAUUGUAAAGGACAUAAGAAAGGGGUAUGGUAUUUAAAAUCGUCUUUACAUAUUUGGUGGGCCUGCUGAGAGAGCUUUACUGUAUGUACGAGAACAGUUUGCCUGUUUAAGGAUUCAGUGGUUUGAAUACAUAGAUUAAAUCACAGGAGGGCCAUCUAGAAAGUUAGGUGACUAUACCUAACUGUUUUGAAGUCUUUGGGGCCCCAGACUACUCUUUAUAACCCCAUCACAGCUUACUCACCUGCAACGUCCCACAUUCUUCCCCUUUAUAAUAACACUAGUGAAUUUUUCCUUUAUGAUUCUCAGAAAAUCAAACCGUUUGUUGGUGUAACAAGUGAGAAUGUCUCUCUCCCAAAGCACUAAUACACCGAGAGCCCAUUAAGGCUCUGCUAUAAUGAUGUGCAUGGGAAAAAUCUUUGGUUCAGUUCGACAUUCCGAAAUUCGGGACUUCAGUACUUCGGAACUUCGGGUAAGUGUUAGGGUAGAGUUAGAGGUAGGAUUAAAGGUGGGGUUAGGUGUAGGGUUGGGUUAGGGGUAGGGUUAGAAACACGGUUAGCCUUAGGGGUCGGCUUUCCGAAAUUCGGCACUUCGUACAAUCGGAAGCUUCCGAAAUUCUGAAAUUCGUCCGGAUUUCCAUUCGGAACGAAACGAAUUGCACAUUUCUACUCUGCUAUAUAGGAGUUUAAAUAUUGGUUACAGAAAACAGGUAUAUUUCAUAUCUGUGGAAUUAUUGGCACUGUGGUUUUUUUUUUUUUUUUGGAAAUAUUUUAUGGGUCUCAAUAUAUACUACAUCACGGUUUUUGGCAUUUGCAUCGUUUAUGCUUUUCAGUUUUAUUGUGAAUGCAGGUGAAAUACAGAAAAUUAAUUUCACACUGGAAAUUACUUGAAGACCUUGCACUCUUUGUUGGGAUAGAGUUUAUUUACACUUGCCGUUUCUCUGUUAAUCUAUUACAUGGUUCUUGUCCUAUAAAGAAGUGUAUUAUUAGAAUGAUUGUAGAGAUGGCUAUAUUUCCAGCCCACUUGUAAUCACUGCUAUGACGUAAUAUGCAAUGCUCAGAUAUAUAUUGGGCUUUUCAUCUUUCUAAUUUUUGUUCCUGUCUGAAAACCCUUGUUUAAAGAAUGUGUAAAAAAAAAAAAAUUAAAAGAAAAAAAUCCCACAAUAAUUGAUUGUUAGGAUAGUUUUAUGCAGAGAUCAAAAAAAUAUAGAAGUUUAGUUUUCGGGACUAUUUUUCAUCAGUCGUAAGCUUCUUCUACAUUGGAAAUAAAUCCUAAUUGAAGGUAUCUUCUGAGUGAAACAAAUUUGGCAAGGGGAAGAAAAUAGACCAGUCCAGAUUUAUUUCAAUACAUAUUUAAUAUAAAUCAGACCUUCUAGGACAUAGACAUUAGUAUAUGUACAAUACUUAAAUGGAAACUCUGUGUCCAAAAUACAUAUCUUUUUAAUGCAUAUAAUCGUUGCAUUUACUCAAAUUUGCACAAAUAUCUGUUUUAUGUUGACUUACUUUUAAAACUGUAAUUUUCCUUUUUUUUUAAAUGUUUUUUUUUGUUUAUAAACUGGGAUAAAUAAUGCUUGCUGAUUUAGGUGAGAUUUAGGGAUUCACAAAAGAAAAUUAAUAUUUUAGGACGAUAGUAUAGUGCCAAUUUAAAGUAUUUUUGUGUCUUUGAAACAGAUGACUUGAUGUAUACAGUUAUUGUGUACUGAAAUUCUUACCUGGCUCUUCCUGGAUGACAUUGGAGUUAUAUUCUACAUAAGUUUUUAACAAGUGGUUACCUCACUCUCCACAGCAUUAUACAAUACACUGAUAAACCACAAUAUUAAAACCCCCAUUGCAUGGGCGUCCGCAGGAAAUUUUCGGGGGCAUAAUUGUAAUGACAUCCAUGCUUGGUACCUUUUUGACAGUGUCAUGAAAGGGAAGGGGCACAGCCAUUAUCACAUAAAGCCAGGGUGAAUAGUGUUUUCACAACUAUGGUGUCAGGAAUAUAUGUUUGUAAAUUAAAGGACCAUUCUGGUCACCAUAACAACUUAACCUAAAUGAAAAUGCUAUGAUGCCAGGAAGCCCCUGGGUGCUCGCUUUCCUUUAAGGGGUUAAAUCGCUCUCAAAUGGUUUAACCCCAAAGGCUUCCUCCAGCUCCAGGUCGCUCAGUGGUAUUUGGCUUCUGAAACAGAGUGUCAGGAAGUGCAGACUGACGUCAGGCAUGGGUGCCGCUGAUUGGCUAGAGUGGACAGUUGACGCUCUAAGCCAAUCGCUAGUUCCCGGUUCAUAAAAUAUUUGUACUUUUUUAUGAAUGGGGAGCUACUGAUUGGCUUAGAGUGCCAGCUGACCGCUCUAGCCAAUCAGCAACACCCCUACCCAACGGCACUCUGUGCUUCCUGACACUCAGUAAAUAAAAGUGAACACAUUAACACCGAUAUUUUUUUACCUUUGGAGAUGAGAAGGUCCAGUGUUUCCCUGCCUGGCCCAGGUACCAAAGCCUUAUGAUGUGGUGUCCAGAAUAAAGUGGAGGGUUCACUUCAUUUGUCCUUCCUGCUCCAAUCUCCUUUUCCUCUCCUUCAUUUGACAGUCUUUUUUUUUCUUCUGACACUGUUUUCUAUCCUUGGCCCCUUCUGCUCUUUUACCUUUCUGCUCCUUUCUGCUUAUUUUGCGCCCUUCUGCUCCUUUCUCAUUCUGAUCCCUUUCUGCUCCUUGCAGACCCUUUCUGCUCCCUUUUCUACUUUACCUUUGUGCUCCUUGCUGUCCCUUUCUGCUCUUUCUCCUACUUUACCUUUGUGCUCCUUGCUGUCCCUUUGUGCUCCUUCCUGCUCCUUGCAGGCCCUUCCUGCUCAUUCUCCUACUUUAUGUUUGUGCUCCUUCUGCCCCUUCCAGCUCAUUUCUGACCCUUUGUGCUCCUUCUACUUUACCUUUGUGCUGCUUUACCUUCCAGCUCCUUGCUGGCCCUUCCUGUUCAUUUCUGUUCCUUUGUGCUCCUUCUCCUACUUUACCUUUUGUGCUCCUUGCUGUCCCUUCCAGCUCCUUGCUGCCCCUUUCUGCUCCUUGAUGUCCCUUCCUGCUCAUUUCUGUUCCUUCUCCUUUUCUCACUUUACCUUCCUGCUCCUUGCUGACUCUUCAUGUAGGCUGUCUCCCCAUCCCUCACUUCCAUAGGCGUGCGCACGGGGUGUGUCGGGUGUGCCUGGGCACACCCUAAUCCCCGCGGCACGCCAAUGGAUUGAGACCGGCGGGGAGAUCUCUGGAUCUCCCCGGUCGGCUCAUGCAGAGCCGACGCUAUCCGAGCGGCGGCUCUGGUCUAAGCCUCCAUGGGCCGGUGGGGAGAUCAAAGUUCUACCUCACCGGUCCACAGCAGCAUGGAUGGAGGCAGCAGAGAACCCGGGCUAGAGUUCACUCUCCACUGAACCACCAGGGAAGGCAGCAGGACUGGGAUAUUAACUAAUCUGCCCCCACUUCCACCCAAACAUACAGCACACACACACACACAGCACCUACACACAUACAUCACCCUCGCACACACAGCACCCACACACAUACAUCACCCACACACCCAACACACUAACAGCAUCCUCACAAACACACAAAACCCACACACAGCACCUGCACAGCACCCACAAACAAACAGCACACUCACACACAAACAGCAUCCUGACAAACACACAACACCCACACACAGCACACUACCAGUUCCCGCACAAACACGCACACACAAACACCCUCUCACACAUAGACACACACACAGCAAACACAGCACCCUCACACACAGCACACUAACAGCACUCUCACAAACACACACAAAAACACCGUCACCCACAUAGCACACUACCAGCACCCUCACACACACACACAGCAGUGUAUAUACAUAUAUACAUAUACAUAUAUAUAUACACACACACACACACACAUACAUACAUAUACGCAUGGCGUGUGUUUGUGAUUUAGGGUGCACACCCUAAUGCAAUAGGCUCACUAAUCUGCUCACUUCCCUAAUCUAUAGGCUGCCCCCCCAAAAUCUAUGGGCUGCUGCCCCGCCCCAAAUCUAUAGGCUGCUGCCCCCCUCCCCAAAUCUAUGGGCUGCUGCCCCCCCCCCAAAUCUAUGGGCUGCUGCCCCCAAAUCUAAAGGCUGCCCCUUAAAUCUAGGCUGCCUCAAAUCUAAGGCUGCCCCAAAUCUAUGAGCUGCCUUUAAAAUCUAUAGGCUGCCACUUUAAAAAUCUAUGGGCUGCUGCCCCGUCUAUAGGCUGCUGCCCCAAAAUCUAUGAGUUGCUGCCCCUAAUCUAUGGGCUGCACCUUUAAGUCUAGAGCUGCUGCCCCUGAGUCCUAUAGGCUGCUGCCUAAGUAUAUAGGCUGCCCAAGUCUAUAGGCUGCCCCCCAAGUCUAUAGGCUAUCUCAAUCCCCCCACCCCAUCCCUCACUCCCCUGAUCUGUAGGCUGUCUUUGGCUGCAUGUGUUGUUCCCCUGCGGUUUCAAUCAGCAGAGAGAAGCAGGGAUAAGAUGCAGCUUCCUAUCCCUGUUUCUCUCCAUACACUGGCCGGCGCCGGUAUUGCAGCUCAUUUUAAAUCUGACACGAAAAAUAGCAGAACAAGCUGAAAAAUCCCCUUGCCCCCCCCCCCUGCGGACGCCCAUGCCCCAUUGGUCUUCCUUGUGCUGCCAAAACCGCUCUGAUGUGUUGAGACAUGGACUCCAUAAGACUUCUGUAUGCACCCAGCACAUCCCACAGAUGCUCAGUAGGAUUGAUAUUGGAGGCCAAGACAACACCUUUUUGUCAUGUUCCUCAAACCGUUCCUGAACAAUUUUUGCAGUGCGGCAGGGUGCAUUAUCCUGCUGAAAGAGGCCACUGCUAUGAGGGAACACCAUUGCCAUGAAGGGGUGUACGUGGUCUGCAGCAAUCUCUAGGUUCCUGAUCGUGUUUUUUCUGAUAUUUGACUUUGGCUUUGUUUCGACUUCCCUGAUUUCUGGUAUCUUUGACUUCUGGCUUUCCUCAUCGGUGUGUCUCAUUCUGUGUCCCUGACCUCGACAAGUAUUUUGACUAUUCUCUGGUACUUUAAGUCCGGCCAUUCUAAGUUGCAGCUAGACGUUAUCCUUAGUCCUAGGUGUGAUACUAUUCUGCGUGCUGGAUCAACUAUAAUUCUGACACGAACACUAUAAACAUGCAUUCCUAACACUAUAGUGCCGGAGUGGUUAUUUAGGUCUCCGGCCCCCCUCACAAUUAAGUUUUCUCUUUCGUUGCAGCUGGCCCUGCCUCCAUGGCCGAGCUCAUCAAUCUUGAGGAUCUCAGCCAAUCCAAUGCUUUUCCAUAGGAAAGCAUUGCAAGGCUAUUGUGCGUGCACGGCAAAACACGGCGCUGCACCAGUCAGCAUCUCCUCAUAGAGAUACAUUGAAUCAAUGCAUCUCUAUGGUUAGCGUUCAGUGUCUCCUUGCAGAGCAUGAAGACGCUGUACGCCUGUGCUGCACACUGUGCGGCACUGGACUAGGAAGCACCUCUAGAGGUCAUCUGAGUGACAUCCACUAGAGGCGUGACUAGCCAGCAAUGUAAACACUGCCUUUUCUAUGAAAAGUCAGUGUUUACCGUGUUAAAACUGCAGGGACAUGCUAUAGACACCAGAACAACUGCAUUAAGCUGUAGUGGUUUUGGCGACUAUAGUGUCCCUUUAAGCUUUUAUUUUAGAUCCAAUAUAAAAAUCCUGUAAGAUUAUAUUCCCAAUGACAUUGACACACUACACAGACCGUUUAUCUACACGAACAGAUUUAUGUAAUAACAUGGCCAUACCAAAUAAUAGGGAUAUUACAGAAGGAGACAGUGUAGCUCUAGUUUGUGUACUGAAAUGAGAACCCAUGGGUUACACCUCAUUAGUCGAAUGUGCAGACGUAUGGAUGGCAUGAAGACGUUUAAUUAUUUCUCGGACAAUUAAGAGGAAAAGAUCUAGAUAUAAUUAUAAAUCCUUUAUCAACAUUUUACAUGGGUCUGCAUCGCUGUGUAUUGGAGUCUGGUAGACGCUUUGGGUCUCCUCUGGUCAUAGCGCUGACGAUGCUAAGCAAGGUGAAUUCAAUUAUGUAUCUAAAGUUGCUAACGCUUUGUACUAACUUUUUAAUUGAUUGGAAAGUGAUGAGUCGGCAUCUUUGGAUCACUAAUUGUUGGUUUAUCCUUGCAGCCUUUUCUCCCUUGGCUCUGGGCUCUGUAAGAGACUGGAAUGUUAUUUACGUACUAGUUUAUAAAGAAGAUCUCACCUUCUGAUCUUGCGUUCCGUAAUCUUGGCCAUGUUUGGCUCCAAGUUUGGUAGAAUUCUAGUGAUAAUACGAUCACAAGCUGCAAAACAGCUGCAAAGUGACACAAAUUCCACUUCCCAAUAUAAUUAUGUGGAGAGAACAAGUCAGCGUCCCUGAUCUCGCGGAGAUAUACGCACACGGCAAGCCAAACAUUAACGUCGCUUGCAAUUACUAUUCUGCGCUAAUCUUAUUCAAAGAUCUCAGGGCUAAUCAAACAUUCCCUGUGUAUUACAGAAAUGGAAGAUUUACUGUUCCAAUUAAAAUGUAAAAAAAAUUAAAUAACUCUGUGGGGAAGGUGUUUAUUAAACCCCGGUUUUCCCUGAGUUGAUGAAAAUGUAUCAACUUGCAGACUUGUUGAAAUAAACACACAUGCAACUUUCCUGGACCCUGUAACGGAACACAGAAUGUCCUAUCUGCAUCAGCAAUGUUAAAGAAACUUCCCAAGCACCACAACCACUGCAGUGUACUGAUAGUCAGUGAGCUAAGCCCUGCACUGCUGCGUUAGUUCAGGACAGAGAAAGGUGAGACUGACUCCUGACGAACCCCUGGGGAAUUAUUAAACCAUUUGCAAACUGUUCUACUACUUACCCUAGGAGGACACUAGGCUACUCCAAGCACCAUAACUACUAAAGCGUGCUGUAGUGGUUAUAGUCCUUGCAUUGCUCCUUUAAGAAUGCAGAAAACUGCCUGGUUUAUUGUUUAAUAUAUGGACAGAUGUAGUGCUUAUUGUUCAGUCAACGGAGAACUGCAUAGCUCAAUAUUAAAUUUAUACGGAGCUUGAAUUCAAUAAAAAAAAUGAUAUUCUAUAUAAUGUUCAUUCAUUUAUUUAGAUUACAGAGCCCCACUCCCACCAAUAUUUCAGAAUAAUAAUCUAUUGUGUUUUCCAUUAUUUAAGCAUUGGGAGAUUCUCCUCGCUGCAGCUCUUCUCUACAACCACUGAACCUUUCAAGUAAUGAUUACUGAUGACUUGUAUCCAGGUAUGAUUAUGGGGAUUUAUAAAAGUGCUGUUUUUUUCUCUUAAAAUUAACACUUUUAUAAAAUAAACUUAGAGGGGACAUGUAAUCAACCUCUAAAGCAUGUCAGCCAGUUCAAAUGCUUUAAGGGACUGGGACACUCCAGAGUGGAUUUGGUACAUUACAUUUUAUUAAUGGAUUAUAAAGACACAUUAUGCACAUGAUACCUACACGACUCAAUGAUAGCUUAGUCUGGGUUCAUUGGGAUCAGUGUAACACAUAAAAAUGGUGCAGAGAGCCGUGUUAAGCCAGGGUAGAACUACUAGGUUCAAUGUUCACUCUAUGGGAGCUGUAGGGUAAAUAUUGGGUCUACAGAUAUCUGCUCAUUUCAAAGUUAGAUUGUUAUGCAGGUGCUGCCUGCAGGAUUCCGUUUUAGAUCUUUGAAGUAUCUUUGGGUUCUGUUUAUGGAACUCUGCAUGGUUUGUUGUUGGGCCCACAUAGAGCUGUAUUGUGCAGGAUGGUGAAAUUCCACUGAUCUGGAAAGAUGCUUGGUUCAGUACUUAUUCUGGGUAGAGCUGAACAAAGUCCUGUUUAGACCUAUGAAGGGCUGCAGAGUUUACUGUUAGGCAGGGGCGUACCUAGAGCAUUUGGCACCCGGGGCGGAUCCUGUGUUUGGCACACCCCCCCUGCCCCGCCCCUCCUACAAAACCUCUGUCCUGCCCCUUCUACAAAUCCUGUACUGCCCCGUCUACAAAACCCCCGCAACCCCCUUCCACAAAUCCCCUGCUUAUCCCCCCUUAUAAAGACUCCUGUCCCAAUACAAAACCCCCGCCCCCUUCUACAAAAUCCCUGCAGCCCCACACAUACAUUUACAGGCAGAAAGUCACACACUCAGUUACAGACAGACAGUCACACACAGUUACAGGCAGACAGUCACACACAGUCACAGGCAGACAGUCACACAUACACAUUUCCUCCGUGCGGCCAGUUUAUCAGCUGUUUGCUUGUGUGAGCUGUACUGGCCGCACGGCACCCUAACUACCAUGGGACACUGUGCGGCCACAGCUCACACAGCCCCCUCCAGCCAGGGCCGGUGCAAGGAUUUUUGCCGCCCUAGGCAAAAGUAAAGUUUGCCGCCCCCCAUGUGACAUCACAAUGCCCCACCCAUAUGAUUUGCCAUGUUAACUAACGCCAGUGCUGCAGUGCCGCCGUGUUUACAUUAAAAGGCCUGCAGGGACAGGCUAUAGACACCAGAACCACUACAUUAAGCUGAAGUGGUUCUGGGGACUAUAGUGUUUCUUUAAUGUGAGGUAAAUUAGAGCUUAGUGCCACGAAUAAUAUACUAGAUUGCCUACUUACAACCAGAUGAGGAUGAUGAUGGGCUCUAGCUGCAGUCUGGCUCCACUGGUCUGGUGCAGAACAGGCUCUCUGGAGGCGGUUUGUAACUGUGGUCACAAAAAUCAAUGUUCUGGGAGAACGGGAAGCAGCUCCAUUUUUUGGGGUCCUUUACACAGUUCAAGGUCUGGGUCCCAGGGUCCACCUUCAUGUUUCACCAAUGAGUUUGUUCACAGGGGGUGGAGUGUGUAGGGGAUGUCCUGAUAUGUGUGUAAGGAAUGCAUUGUGUGAAAUUGUGUUUGUAUGUGUAAGGGCUGCAAGGUGUGUUUCUUUGUAUGUAUGGGAUGCAUUGAAUGUGUGUAAGGGGUGCAUUGAGUGUGUGUAAGGAAUGCAUUGUGUGUUUCUGUGUGUGUAAGGGAUGCGUUGUGUGUAACGGUUGCAUUGCUUGUGUAUGUGUGUCUGUGUGUGUAAUGCAUUGUGUGUUUUUCUGUGUGCAAGGGGUGCAUUGUGUGUAUGUGAUGAAUGUCAAUCUCUCCUCCNNNNNNNNNNNNNNNNNNNNNNNNNNNNNNNNNNNNNNNNNNNNNNNNNNNNNNNNNNNNNNNNNNNNNNNNNNNNNNNNNNNNNNNNNNNNNNNNNNNNUACCCGCGGACCAUCAAUGCUGCAGGGCUCGGCCACGCUACAGAGAGCUCGGCCACGCUACAGAGAGGGGCUGACAGGAGGGAGCGCUGCGCCCGGGCGGUGCAGUCCGCCCUCAUGGACGCACCGCCCGGGCAAAGCUGCAGCCGCCUGAGGCUCUCUACAGAGCGCUCGGGCGGCUGCAGCAUGGGGGGGGGGCGCCCCUGGUCAUGGCACCCCCCACCCUGGUGGCACCCGGGGCGGACCGGCCCCCCCGCCCCCCCCUUAGUACGCCACUGCUGAUAGGUCUGCAGAGAGUGACUUGGUCUGGUGUUAACUAUAUGGAGAGCCGCGAUAUUCAAUGCUUGUUCUACUGAUAUUUUUUUGUGCUUAGUUUAUCUAACCUUGACAAACUUUUUUUUGUCACACAUGCGCAAUAGCCUCACAAUGCAUUGGAUUGGCUGAGAUCAUCAACUCUCACGAGUCGGAUCCAGGGUAGGGCCAGCAGCGAGGAGACCCACUUGGCGCUGGGAAAAAUGGGGGUAAGGAUGGUGUUGACCUAAAUGGCUAUUUUAAACCUGUACACGUUUGUAUUCCUGACACUAUAGUGUCCCAUUAAGGUGUAACAUUUAAUGGUCUCCAUAAAGAUUAGUCUGGUAACUAGUGAGUAAGCACAUGGCAAAACAUCAUGUCAUUUUUAGGGCAGAGAGGAGUAUAAGCCUCUCGCCCAGCUGGCGCCUAAGCCACUCCAUCUUGCUGGCGUAUAAACCACCCCUUUUGGCUGGUGUAAAAUUCACUCCCCUUGACAGGGGUUGGAGCCACUGUUACCGGAGGAAUAACAGAAACAAACCGCAGAAGCCACACAUUGAGAUAUGGACACAAGUCUUUAGGAAGUAACAGGUCUUUUAUUUACACACCGAUCGGGUCUCACACUGAACUUGUGUUCAAAAGGUAUGAGCCCAGAGCAUAGUUUGAACAGGCUAUUUAUUAACAAUAACUCCUCUCAUUCAUAGCUCCACUCACACAUACCCUUAGACCAAUCAGUAAACAGGAUAUUCAGGAUCACCUAAUAUGGGCAGACCUUAUGACUCAUUUUAAGGACAAAGGAAUGUGAAUACAGUUGAUGCACAUGCUCAGUACAUUGAUGACAGUAUCUUAGCUACAUGUAACUAACUAACAGAUACAACAAACACCUGUACUUGUAUAUGCCACAUGGAGAUUUCAGGCUUACUAAAUUUUGAACCAUGUUGAAAUCCCAUCACACCACUUCUGUGUGAUGAAUAAUAAUAAUAAAAAGUAUAUAUAUUUUUUUCUGUUUAUGUUCAAUGUGCUUGGAAGAUUUCAUGCUAGUCCUGGUUUUUAUCGUUGAACUAAAUUGCCCAUGAAAUUAAGAUUUGUGUUUUUUCAGCCUCCUUGUGCUGUGAGGGGGUCAAUCGAUGUUCUCGCCUGGAAGUCAUGACUUUGGGGAUGGCAUUUAACUAAUUGUCUCUUCUGUGUGGUGGCUUUGGAUCCUGUGUGAAGUUAAAUAACAGGAACCUUUGCAUAUUCUUUGGUUAGUGCUCGAUGUAGUUUUUAAUUAAAUGACCAAUCGAACAGCAUAAUAACUGUUUGUUGCAUAAGCCAUGAUGCAGUGCGGUCCCAAGUCACUGUCUCCUCGCUCAUGGUGGGGGGGGGAGGAAGGGGUUAUUUAUCGCUUAGUUCUGAAUAAAAGAAUAAAUGUGAUAAAUACAAAUUUUAUUUAUUUAUGGCUGCUCCUUCUCCAUUUAUCUAGGUCUCCGUCCUUCAUUCAAUAUAUUUGAGGCACUUUGGAAAGUAUGGUUGUAGCUAAAGAGGCACCGAUUUUUCGGCCGAAAAUGGGCCUAUCCCGUUUUGGCCGAAAACAGGUCAAAUUUGCUGAAAUUAAAUAAUUUUGUAGUGCAUAGUUUAACAUACAUUCUUGCAUUAACAAUUCAGAAGAUUAUAAAUCACAGUGAAAAAUAGUAAUGAUAACAUGAAAAGUCAAGAAUACUGCACUUGGGACGGGGGGGAAGAACACUAUGGGACAGGGGAGGGGGAGAGAAAAGAACACUGGGACAAGGGUGGGAAAGAACACUAUAGGACAGGGGAGGGGGGAGAAAAGAACACUAUGGGACAAGGGAGGGAGUAAAGAAUACUACCGGACAGGAGUGGGGGAGAACACUAUAGGAUGGGGGAAGAACACUAUAGGACAAGGGGGGGUUAGAACACUAGGACAGGGGAUGGGAGAAAAUAACACAAUGGGACAGGGGGGACACUAUGGAACUGGGGAGGAGGGGGGAAAGAACACUAAAAAAGAGGAAGGGGAGAGGAACACUAGAGGGGGAAGAGAGGAACAUUAAGGGGGGGGGAUCACUAAAAGAGAAGAGAGAAGGGAAGUUUUUUAUAUCAGAUUAAUUAAAUUCAUUAAAAUGUCUAAUAUUAAUAAAAUCAUAGGAAAAAAUCUUUUAAAAAAUCUUUUUGGGGAAAAAAAAGUCAUUUUUUGGUUUCGGCCCAAAAUUUUCGUUUCGUUGCAUCCCUAGUUGUAGCCAGUAUCCAGUUGGACUACAAAACUUAUAAUGCCCUGCAUAGUUUAUUCUGAUACUCCACCAAUACUGUUUUCCACUUGGCUACAAAGUGACUAAAGCACUCUGAAUGUAUUCAUGUAGGAAACAACGUACUGGUAUUUUUGCUUAAAGGAACUGGUCAGUGUAGUAGCUAUGUUGUCUGUGUUGUUAACAGUGUGUAAUUCAAGUACAAAUAUUUUGUUUCAUAUAGUCUCGGAAUGAUUUGACAAAAUACAGGACUCUCCACUGAUUCUGGAGACCUUCCCAUCCUGUGUUUGAUUUAUAAUUCGGAAAAUGCCCAACAGCGAUAGGUUGAGAACCCAGGGGGUGAUUGUGUUGACAUUUAGAAUGCCAAAGUGUAAAUUUGGCAAUGUCAAUGCUGCCAACUAGGGGAGUGCACUUACAUGAUUUAUUAAAAAUUCAAAAAGACAAUGCAGUGGAAGUUUUGGCAACAUAACAAGUAAACUGAGCUGCUUAUAGUGACCCUUUAAUGGGUUAAAAAAAAACAAUUCUCUCUUAAAGGAACCGUUAUAUCAGACUUAUAAUGCUGCUAUUUUUCUACAUAGUGUGCUAGUCUAUUAGGUGCUUUGUUUUUUUGCCUUUUUUUGCCAAGGUGCUAAAUUCUUUUACAGAAGAUAAACUAUAAAGAUGCUAUCAGUAUGAACUGGGCACACCUGCCUUGUGGCAGGUAAUUAGGAGAAGGUCACAGAGUUCUUGUAGCUCCUUGUUCUGGCAGACCAGUUCUUCUAGUAAAUAUUAGAUAUCUAUUCAUUUAGAAAUUUACUAUGCUUAUGCCUUGAUAGGAUACAGAUUUUGUCAUCCUUGAGUUUUGUUCACGAUGGAAUCCUCCUACUACAGUGAUGAGCAAUGGUAGCUGCCCAGAUAAUGACACUUCUCUGCUAGCAGAAAUAUUGGAAAAGAUCAAUGGAGGUAGUAGUUAAUCUCUGGAUCUACCCCUACUAUAAUGGCAUCCCCAAACUGUGUAUUAAAGAGCUUUACAGCCCACACCAUGAGAAUCAAAUUCUCUGCUAUUGUCAAUCACAAAAGUUCUUGUCCUGGACUACAGGAAACAAAUAAAGAAUACCAUGCCUGAAUGGACACCUAAGUGGCGGAACUGUAAUUAUGCUCAGAAUAAAAGCAUCACCUUGAUUCAUUUUCUGUCGUUCCAAAGCUAUCACAAUUAUGCUUUUUACUGUUAAAACAAGAAAUCAGUAUAUAAUUGGACAGAUGAAAAACUAUUGCGGUAUUAUAAAUAACAACGAAUGCAAUACAGCACACAUAAAUUCUACAGAAAAGACAAACAGACCAGGUGCUAUUUUCCAUCCAAUUAUCAUUCUCUGGGAUUACUGAGAAACAGGGAUUGGUAUGUAAAUAGGCCGUAUUCCACUAGUUUCACACCAAGGCAAAUCCUGAAUGAAACUAAUAUGCAUUCAGUGCUUCCUCCCACCACGUCUAAGGAAUUCACAUUAAAUUACAACAAUCACAUAAUUUUCUGUCAAUAAAGCUUGAUGUGUUAGUCAUUAAAGACAAGUGUUCAUUGACUGUAAUCUGUUCCUAGGAUAGUGUGAGUCACAGGCAUGUGUAGGGACUCGAGUCAGACAUUUACCGGUAUAAUUAAGAAGACAUCCUGGAAAUGUCAUAUUUACUUCUAAUGAAAUGACUGCAUCUAGUACUGAAUAUUAAGGUAUGGGUUGAUUCAGGUCUACAAAUAUAACUUUCUACAAUUCAUUAAUUGUCAGUAAAAUAUUUCACCUUAAUGCUGCUGAUAUAAGACAUGUCCACACCUCUAUUAUUGUAUGGGCUUUAUGUCAGACUUAGGAGACCCUCUAUUGGCUGAGAUUAAACCUGGAGACCGAUAGGAGUACUUCCUAAAAAGGUACACAUUUAAUUUCCUUAAUGAACCUGAAGAGUCUAAAGUUUUAAGGUCAAAAGGGCUUGAAGAAUUGUGGUCAAGUGUGGUUGGACGAUGAAGGCAGGGAAGCAAAGACUUGUAAUCUAUAUUAUAAAUCCAGAUUGGAUAUUCAGAAAGCAGAAACACAGGAAGGGUCCAAAGGAUAGUUGGCUUGCAGGCUAAACUAUAAACACAGGGGCAGCAGAAUAUUUUGUCGAUAUAGACCGAUUGGAUGGACCAAUGCUAGAGCACAGAUACAACACAAGAAAACAAGUAGCCUACGUUACUGAGCUACGGGACAUCAUUAAAAGAUGCCAAGUGUACUAAUAUCAACCUGUGGCGCCAUAGAGAAUCGUGCACACCAGCAGCCUCAGAGUAGGUACCCCAAGCCUUGAGAAGCCAGUGACACGGGUAAGUGGUCCCACAUAUGCAUGUUUCCAAAACACUUGGCAAAACGGAUAAAAUACAGCAAGAAAUUAAGGAAAACAAAAGGAGAGAAAGCUGAACAAAAUGAAAAAUGAGAGAAGUCUUUGAAAAAUGGACAGGAGCUGAGUAGAAAAUAGUGGGAAAACAAAAGAAGGGACCAUUGUUUGAAUUCUGAAGCAACACUGAUAGACAUUGAUACCAUGGUCGCCAAAAAGUGAAAGCUUUCCUUCAAAGUUGCAAGAUAAAUAUAAUUUAAGGUGCUGUUAGAUUAAUCAUAGAGUAAUCAUACCCAUUUUAAAUGUCACAAAUACGUUUUUGUGCUUCUUGAUCACUGUUUAAAGGGCAUAGUUACUUUUAAAUAAAUACUCUGGAAGAAGAUCCAACUCUUUGAGCGACCAGAAGAAAGUCUUUGGGAAGGUAUUCCACACCUGGACUUCUGGGUUCUAGCAAUUGAUCUAUCUGCCAGGAAUGUUUAGGUUUAAUAAUUCCCCCCUUCAGUUUCUUCGGUUAUUUAAUUGAUUAUUUCUAGAGCACUUACAAAUUCUUCAAAGUGAUAUUCAUUGACAUGUACGAGAAAUCUGGGUGGUCAGGUGAUUUUGUGACUUGUUGAGAAAGGAAAUUGCAGAUAUUCGGCUAAAGUGUCCACACUAGAAAAAUUUCACUCAGACAUUUUCAUUCCCCUUGGUAUUCCUACACCAUUCUUGAAUUAGAAAAACAAAUGCAGUGUCCUUACAGGCAAUUUCAAAACUAACAAAAAAAUUGGAAUUGAAAUAAAGAAAUUGGAAUUGAAAAAAUUCAUUUUUCCGAUUCUGCCUUUUUGGCCUGGACCUAAAAAUGAAAAUUGAUUGUCAAGUUUCUACAACUCACUGUUCAAUGAAUAAAUGCAGGACAUUUCCCAAACAUCUCUAUGUCUGUAAAAGAUCAAUUAUAUGUGUUGCUCUAUUAAAUACAAGGUGGAUGUGGGUGAUGAAACAACCCAAGAGGUUUCUACAAUUUGUACUUCGAAGUUCUUGUACCUUCAUUAAUUGUCCAAAAAAAGACCAAUCACUCUUGCGUGAGAAAAUAAAUUCAUUCUUCCCCUUAUGACUCAUGUUUUAUUGAACAAAUUCUUUAGGUCUUAGCAGCGAUUCAACCUGCAGACUCCUGUUCAUUAUUAGAACUUCGAGACUGAAUCAAAUUAAAAUCUACCAACUUGCAAACGAACAGAAUUAAUCCUCUGCUACUAAAAGAGGUGAUGUAGAGGUCACCGCUAUAAUAUCUUCCCCCUCCCCAAUUAAGCUCCACUGCAGAUAUAAAUCAAAUUUGCUCACACAUGAAGAACUUCUGUUUUAUUUAUCACCCAAUUGUUUUAUUUAGGAUUCUUCAUUGGAAUAUUUAUUAUAACAGAGCAGUUUCAAUGUAACGCGUUCUGGAAAUAUAAAAGUUUCAUGAGACAUAGUGAUUCAUCGUCGACUCGUAUCAUGGGACCAGUCGUUCUGUGAAUUUGCAGACUCAGAUGUUCCACUUUUGAGCCCGGGUGUUAUUUUAAGAUGCACGUUCAAAAAAAAAUUAUUAUUUUUUUUUUUUUAAAUACUUUAACAUAUUGCACACAUAAAUAAACCCACCUUUGCUCGGGUUCUCGAGACGACAACAUUUUGCUUGUUGUGUUUUGUAAAAGCCAUUUCCAUGUCACUACCCAGAAUUUACUGUGGCUUGUCACUGCUGGAUGCCAGGGAGUUGUAGAGUAAUAAACUUUGUGAAGAACAAUAAAAUGUGCAAUAUUUAAGAAAUUUAGUAAAAGCCAUUAACGUGUCAUUACUCUGAAUGCAAUGCAGUACUUCUGUCUCCUGAAUAUUAACGUGGUUGAAGAAGGUGGUUGAAGAAUAAAAUUAGGGUUGUCAAAACCUUUGGUAAAAGCUAUUAACAUGUCAUAACCCAGAAUUCAUUGUAGUGAUUCUCAUUGUGUUUUAUGUAGCAAAGUUUAGAAUAUUGAAACAUUUUUUUUAAAGCAAUUCCCAUGUCACCAUCUUACAUCAAUGGCUUUAUUUGCACUGUGCUGUAUGUCAAAAGGCUAUAAAUGAAGAAAUUAAUGAUUUUUUUAUUUUAUUUUUUUUUAAUAUGUGACACAAUUUUGUAUGCAGUUUGUGUAAAAAUAGUGGGCACAAAAUCAAAUAAAUUGUUAAAUAACAAAUGAGGGGUGGAAUAUGUAAUAUGCAUAUAACUUCAGAAGUCUGUGGAAUUUCUAAAUCUAUAACAUUUUGUGUAGAGACAUCAGAACUUUUCCUUUCCAGUACAAAAAUGCGAGAAGAACAUCUAUUUUCUCUAAAGUAAGCAAAGAGAGAGAGAGAGAGAGGAUGUUUUUUUUUUAAAUUCUUUAUUUUUCAUGUGCUCAGAUUCACAACAAGCGCGCAGAGCCACGACAGCUUCUGCACGCAUUUUCAUAACAUUUUGCAGUUUAGACAGCACAUUUUUUUAUAUAUAACAUGAGGAAUAUAGGCAGUCAAACAUAAAGGUAGUAUAGUGUAGCAUGCUAGACUGAACGUGCAUUUAACAUGGCUAGUAGCGCUGCUGCGCUGGGGUUUGUAUGUCUAAGGCAUUGCAUUAUUAAGAACGACAGCUGUGGUGUGAUUUGCACGUUAUCAACUGUUACGACAUGUCAGCAGCCCUACCGCUAGUGUUAAUUCAAACUGAAGGUGUCCCAUUAGACAAGACUGGUCAAUAACAAGAUACAUAAGCGGGUAUAGUAAAUAUAGUAGAUAUAUGUAUGAGGGACCAUGGUUAUAGACUCUUCGGGAGGUGAAAAAACAGCAUUUUUAAACCAAUUGUUACUUUAUGAAUAGCUAGCUUGUGGAGAGCAGUAAUGUGGAAGUCUAUUUAUAGCAAGACAUGCCUGGCAGACUCCGCACUCCUGCUUGUGCUUAUCCGAUCCCUUCUGGGCGCCUGGUACAUAGCCCGGGGGCCUCCAUCACACAGAACAUCAGAGGCAAGUGUCCGACGAAGCGCCAGGUUACCGGCUUAUGGUGGGGAAGUUUGUUCCGUCUGGUGGUCGGCACCGUCCCUGUGGGCUGGGCGCCAUAUAUACGGUGCGGUUUUGACGCGGCUUGAGGUGGGUGCUUGUCUUGAGGCAGGCUUUGCGUGUCCGUUUGUGUCUCCGAUCCCUUCUUCGGUGCCUUUUGAAGGGACUUCUAGUGACUGUUGGUCUGUGUCCGCCCUUUGGGUGCCGCAGGUAGUGGCGCAGGAUUAGACCGCUUGACGUUAGCUGUGGUCAGCGCCCUCUCCGAGAUCCCGGCCCUGAAGGCAGCAAGGGUAGCGUCCAGCUUGAAAAGUGUGUUAUUCAGCUGCUCCCUAGCAGUCCCCCCUGUUUUCCGGCUUGCUCGUUGCAUCAGCCAUUUUGGGGUUGGUGACUCUAGGAGCUUGUAGUCCCUGGGAUGUGUGAGUCAGCGGAGGGUGUGCUGCUGUUGCCGGGAUUUUGGGGGGGGGGGGAAGAAGGCUUGUGGGUGGUCCUCCGCAGUGUUAAUAUUGGCUUUUGGGAUGAGAUUGUAGCAUGAGAACCAAGUUUAUUUCGCUUAAACAGGGAUUUCAGGCUGGAGCUCAUAUUACACACGACUGAUCAGCUCCACAGCCAGGCUCUGCUCCCGUUUUUUGUAUUUUUUUAAUGUCAUACUUUCAAACAUGGCCAAUGGACAGCAAAAUACAUUUCUGUUUCAGGGAUAUGACUAGUGUUGUGGCCAAGGAUGGCUCUAUUCUGGGUUAUUUUAGGUGAUUACCAGCCCACCUUGACAGAGGUGGUCAUGGAGUAAAUAAGAGCAGGCGGGCAAGUCUGCCCAUCAAAAGGGGCCAAUAGUGUCCAGAAAUCUGCCGAAAGGUUAUAAAAUGCAGGACGAGGCAGUAGUGGGAUUCAAAAUUUUUAGUAACCAGUUCUGACUUUUCAGACACUCACAUCAACGCAGUCAUGCAUAUAUACCCUAAGGGGCAAAAACACCCCGGGGAGGGGAGACGUCAACAACAGCUCCUCCCUAGCCCAGAGCUCAGACCUCCCCAAGCUGCCUUCCCUAGAUCAAGUGGCCCCUGGAGACAACCACCUGGUGGAGAGGUCAGACUGCAAAUAGAAAAUUCUACCUUUUAUUACCUGCUGCUGGGAUCUCCAGGAACAAUGGUGCUUCUCAUGCAGUAAGUGUAAUCCAUAUAAUGAUGAAAUCCUGAGGAGAUGCACUUCACUUGAAGAGCACAGUAACUCACAUGAGUGCACAGCCCUCUGACAGCCAGUACCAGUUGCUGCCCAAAUCUCAGACAGCAGGGUGCUGUGCAGGCAGGGCCGCCAUCAGGGGGUGACAACCAUAAUGGUUGUCACAGGCCCGUCUGUCCUGGGGGGCCCGGACUGCUUUGGCAGUCCAGGGCCCCACAAUUACUCUCUGCACCUAUAUAUAGCAAUGAUCACUAUAUAUAGGUGCAGCCGCAGGCCCCCCAGGCUCCCUAUACUUGCAGUGAGGGCCCAGCGGACUGCAGCUGUACUUUACAGCAUUUCCCUCGCUCUCACUCCCGCAAGACGUGUGGCCGUUAGAGCGUUGCCAUGGGUUACCAUGGCAACGCGGCGCGCACACCACAUCUCGCGGGAGUGAGAGCAAGGGAAAUGCUGUAAAGUACAGCUGCAGUCCGCUGGGCCCCCUCUGCAAGUAUAGGGAGCCGGGGGGCCCCACAAUGCCACCGGACCACCAGGGAUCAUGGAAUCUACCCCCUCCCUGAACCAGGUAAGAAACAGGGAGGGGGGAAUAACAGUUAUUACAUUUACAUGCAUACACUACUAAACACACACACACUGCAUUCACUACACUAACACACACACUGUAUUCACUGCACUAACACACACACUGCAUCCACUACACUAACACACACUCACACUGCAUUCACUACACUAACACACACACUGCAUUCACUGCACUAACACACACUCUCAUUCACUAGACUGACACACACACUGCAUCCACUACAUUAACACACACACUGCAUUCACUACACUAACACACACACUGCAUCCACUGCACUAACACACACUGCAUCCACUACACUAACACACACACUGCAUUCACAACACUAACACACACACUGCAUUCAUUACACUAAAACACACUGCUUUAAUUACACUAACACACACACUGCAUCCACUACACUGACACACACACUGCAUCCACUACACUGACACACACUGCAUUCACAACACUGACACACACACUGCAUCCACUACACUGACACACACACUGCAUUCACUACACUGACACACACACUGCAUCCACCACACUGACACACACUCUGCAUUCAUUACACUGACACACACUCUGCAUUCACUACACUAACACACACACUGCAUUAAUUGCACUAACACACACUCUGCAUUCAUUAUAAUAACACAGUCUGCAUUCAUUGCACUGACACACAGUCUGCAUUCAUUACACUGACACACAGUCUGCAUUCAUUACACUAACACACACACUGCAUCCACUGCACUAACACACACUCUGCAUUCACUGCACUAACACACACUCUGCAUUCACUACACUGACACACACACUGCAUUAAUUACACUAACACACACACUGCAUCCACUACAUUAAUACACACACUGCAUUCACUACACUAACACACACUGAAUCCACUACACUAACACACACACUGCAUCCACUGCACUAACACACACUGCUUUCACUGCACUAACACACCCACUGCAUCCACAACACUAACACACACUUCAUUCAUUACACUAACACACACACACUGCAUUCAUUACACUAAUACACACACACUGCAUCCACUACACUGACACACACACUGCAUUCACUACACUGACACACACACUGCAUCCACUAUACUGACACACACUCUGCAUUCAUUACACUGACACACACACUGCAUUCAUUGCACUAACUCACACUCUGCAUUCAUUAUAAUAACACAGUCUGCAUUCAUUGCACUGACACACAGUCUGCAUUCAUUGCAUUGACACACACACUGCAUUCAUUGCACUGACACACACACUGCAUUCAUUACACUAACACACACUGCAUUCAUUGCGGGGGGCCGGGGAAUCUAUAACCUACUUACUGACCAUUUAACUUAAGUGAAAAAAGUAAUUUAGAACAAAAAUCUAAGUAUUUUAGUUACACAAACACACCUAUGAACAUCUGUAUACAGAGGGACCUGGGUUUACAAACGCCUCGGUUAACAUAAUUUUCGGUUUACAAAUGAAAAUCCAUUGAAAAUAAUGCCUCGGUUUACAAAAAAAUUUCGCAAAACAAAGCAAGUUUCCCCAGGAUGCAUUGCACCUGGGAGGUUUAUAGCACCGCUCGCUGCAUGCUGGAGCCUGUGGGUAGCACGUGGCGUAGAGUGUGGAGGUGUUGGAGCAGCUUUUGCAUUGAGUUUUGGAGCCAUUCUGGAAAUUGUUUGCAGUUGUUUUGGGACUUUUUGGUGCAUUUCUCAAGUUGUGGAACGGUAGGGAGCUGAGCUUUGUCGUUUGCAUGCCUUUUAUUGUGUGUUCUGCAUUGUGACUUGGUUUCCAUGCCAGCUCAUUUUGACUUUUUUUCUGACCUCCAGAACGGAUUAAUUGGUUUCCAAUGGGAAACCACGUUUCGGUUUACAGAUUUUUCUCAAUAAGAAAAGUCCCGGAGAACACAUUAAAUUCGUAAACCGAGGUCCCACUGUACUUUGUAUCUUAAAGACAUAUCCCAGUAAGUUUUCUAUAGUGGAGCUUAGUUUUACAGUAGUAAACACUGAAAAUUCGUAAACCGAGGUCCCACUGUACUUUGUAUCUUAAAGACAUAUCCCAGUAAGUUUUCUAUAGUGGAGCUUAGUUUUACAGUAGUAAACACUGAAUAUUCUGGCUAUGUGGGUAAAAUAAUGUGGAUUCACGCAUGUAUAUGUGAUGUGGCUAUAUGGAUAUGUAAUUUAGUUAUAUGAAUGUAGCUGUACACAUAUGUAAUGUGGCUAUGCGUAUGCAGUAUAUGUGAUGGUACUAUAUAGAUAUGUAAUGUGGCCAUAUGGCUGUUAUUACAUGGAUAUGUUAUGUUGCUAAAUGGAUGCAGUGUAAUCCAAAAAUUUACUACACAAUGUUAUCCCGACCCAGGGAUUAAAGGAACACUCCACUGCCCAAAUGAAAAAAAAAAAUCGCUGUUUUGUAGAUUUACCCCCAAUAAAUACAUGCAUUCAUUUUUCAUGUUCAGUGGGGGGGUUAUAUCAUAAGAGACCUUGCAAAGGCUGCAGAUCUUAUAAACUGCAUAGAAAUCGUGACUUUUAUAAACUGGGGUUAAACUGGGAUACUCCACACCCAUAAAGCAAGCUGAAGUGCUAUUGGGGUGCGGAGUGGUCCUUUAAGAGACACUGGCUUAGGGAUUGGUAAAACCGUAACAGUGCGCUUUGUAUUACUAUUAUUGUAUAUUGUAUUAUGCACGCCAGCAACUUCCUGUACUUGGACAGCUCUCUUAUUAUCAAUUACCCGCUGCAGCUCUAAUGCUGGGUGAGUGGUGAAUGGGAACAUUAAAGCUUUUAUCCAAACCAUAAGAUGGCAAACAGAUGUUGCCAGGAACGCACAUAGCAUACGGACUUCUAACGACGGCAGAUACUUCAUGUCUCUGCCUACAGUGUGCCCCCUCCUUGCUCGAGCAAGUCUUGUGAGGAGAACAUGUAAGGGUUGUGGAACGAAUAAAGAAGAUAACAGGUUUGCAAUGCUGCCAGUGGUAGUGUUUACGAUUUGUGUAUCGGUAGCAUGUGUAAGCGAAUGGCAUUCUACCUGAGUAUCACUGAAAGAAAGAAAUAUGUAGGUAAAAGAUAAACGUGCCAAUGAGCAAUAUUUGAAGGUACCCUCCAGACCCAGCUUGCUGAAGUGCUUUAUGUGUGAAGAGUGUGUCCACUUUGUUUCUUUUUCGUUUUAGACAAAGUGCAGAUUUCAAUACGGCAUUUCAGAAUGUUUGUAAACAAUAGGCGCCAAGAUACUUCCAGGUGGCAGAACGCGAGCGGCUUCCACUGACCUGAACAGAUCCAGCCGGUCUGGCCAGGGAACACCCCCAGUAUACCCAGCAUCCGCUACUAUUGUCAGACUCCCUGCCUGGAGACCCAUCCCUGGCCAUUGCUAU